AGCUCCUGAGGCCACAAAGUGUCAAAUGUGAGAAGAUUUUACUUUUUUGAUAGACUUCCUGACGUCACAAGUAGGCGGAGCUUAGCGAACUUUUCCAAACAAAUUGAUUUUACAUGUUAAAACGCCAUAAGAGAUUUGGUGUCAGUUAGUUGUUACAUAUUUUGAAAAAAAUCUCCAUUGAUUUCAGAUAUAGAAUGGCUUCAAAACAUUGUUUUAAAGCUAUCCUAUAUAAAUGAUUCAUUCGACAAUGAUAAUAAAAUCAUGAAAAAGGCUGAAAAUGCCUUGGAAUCGAAUCAUGUGGAAAGUAUGCAGUUUGAUGAUGAUAAGAGGAAGAAGAGAAGUUCAUGCAAGCAUGAAAAAUAAAUUCUAUCAUGUUGAAAUCACACUGAAUAAAUCUGAAGAUAUCAUAUCUUCAAAUUGUGCUCGUCCUAGAGGAAUAAAAUGUCAUCAUUUUGCCACAUUAGCUCUUUUUGGACACUUCCAUGUAUCUGUGACUGACAAGGAAUAUGAUCCACUGUGGGCAGAAAACUUAUCGCUGCUAGAAGAUUUUUAUAUAAAACAGUACCUGCCAAAACUUACACACAAUCUUACAUCAGCUGAAACUUGACUCAGUAUAUAAAAUUAUACCCAGAUAAUCAUGUUAAGAUAAAGUGUAUUAGAUAUAUGUGAUAAAUAUUCAGAAUGUACCUUCAUCAAUAUUUCUGUAAUAGUAUUGAAUAUAGUAACUGUUGGGGACAAGCUCAAAA